rnacentral:rRNA from 1 species
AACUAGCAAGGGAUUCCCCUAGUAACGGCGAGUGAACCGGGAAGAGCUCAAAUUUGAAAUCUGGCGUCCUCAGGGCGUCCGAGUUGUAAUCUAUAGAGGCGUUUUCCGUGCCGGACCGUGUCCAAGUUCCUUGGAACAGGAUAUCAAAGAGGGUGACAAUCCCGUACUUGACACGACGACCGGUGCUCUGUGAUACGUCUUCUACGAGUCGAGUUGUUUGGGAAUGCAGCUCAAAAUGGGUGGUGAGUUCCAUCUAAAGCUAAAUAUUGGCGAGAGACCGAUAGCGAACAAGUACCGUGAGGGAAAGAUGAAAAGCACUUUGGAAAGAGAGUUAAACAGUACGUGAAAUUGUUGAAAGGGAAACGAUUGAAGUCAGUCGUGACCGAGAGGCUCAGCCGGUUCUGCCGGUGUAUUCCCCUCGGUCGGGUCAACAUCAGUUUUGUCCGGUGGAUAAGGGCGGUAGGAAGGUGGCACCCUCGGGUGUGUUAUAGCCUGCCGUCGCAUACAUCGGGUGAGACUGAGGAACGCAGCUCGCCUUUAUGGCCGGGGUUCGCCCACGUCCGAGCUUAGGAUGUUGACAUAAUG